rnacentral:rRNA from 1 species
UACGUAGGGUGCGAGCGUUGUCCGGAAUUACUGGGCGUAAAGAGCUCGUAGGUGGUUUGUCGCGUUGUUCGUGAAAACUCACAACUCAAUUGUGGGCGUGCGGGCGAUACGGGCAGACUGGAGUACUGCAGGGGAGACUGGAAUUCCUGGUGUAGCGGUGGAAUGCGCAGAUAUCAGGAGGAACACCCGUGGCGAAGGCGGGUCUCUGGGCCGAUACUGACGCUGAGGAGCGAAAGCGUGGGGAGCGAACAGG